rnacentral:rRNA from 1 species
GACAGAGGGUGUUAACGUUGCUCGGAAUUACUGGGUGUAAAGCGCGUGCAGGUGGUUUCGUAAGUUCGGUGUGAAAGCCCAAGGCUCAACCUUGGAAGUGCACUGAAUACUGUGAGACUUGAGUUCUGAAGAGGAGAGUGGAAUUCCCGGUGUAGAGGUGAAAUUCGUAGAUAUCGGGAGGAACACCAGUGGCGCAAGCGACUCUCUGGGCAGAAACUGACACUAAAACGCGAAAGCGUGGGGAGCAAACAGG